GGGCCCGUAGCUCAGCUAGGUAGAUAACAUACAGCCUAUAGCACCCGGCUCAUAACCGGGGGGUCGCGGGUUCAAAUCCCGCCGGGCCCA
rnacentral:tRNA from 2 species